rnacentral:rRNA from 1 species
UACGGGGGGAGCAAGCGUUGUUCGGAAUGACUGGGCGUAAAGGGCGCGUAGGCGGCCGCUUGCGUCGGAUGUGAAAGCCCGGGGCUCAACCCCGGAACGGCAUCCGAUACGGGGCGGCUCGAGACCGAGAGAGGUGAGUGGAAUACCCAGUGUAGAGGUGAAAUUCGUAGAUAUUGGGUGGAACACCGGUGGCGAAAGCGGCUCACUGGCUCGGUUCUGACGCUGAGGCGCGAAAGCGUGGGGAGCAAACAGG